rnacentral:tRNA from 1 species
GGUCCCAUGGUGUAGUAGCAGUAUUCAGAACUCUGAAUCCUGUAAUCUGAGUUUGAAUUUCAGUGGGACCU